rnacentral:rRNA from 1 species
GUAGGUGGCAAGCGUUGUCCGGAAUUAUUGGGCGUAAAGCGCGCGCAGGCGGUUCUUUAAGUCUGAUGUGAAAGCCCACGGCUCAACCGUGGAGGGUCAUUGGAAACUGGAGAACUUGAGUACAGAAGAGGAAAGCGGAAUUCCACGUGUAGCGGUGAAAUAGCGUAGAGAUGUGGAGGAACACCAGUGGCGAAGGCGGCUUUCUGGUCUGUAACUGACGCUGAGGCGCGAAAGCGUGGGGAGCAAACAGGGAUUAGAUACCCUGGUAGUCACGCGUAAACGAUGAGUGCUAAGUAUAGGGGGUUUCCGCCCCCUUAGUGCUGCAGCUAACGCAUUAAGCACUCCGCCUGGGAGUACGCCGCAAGGCUG